rnacentral:rRNA from 1 species
GCGUUGUUCGGAAUUACUGGGCGUAAGGCGCACGUAGGCGGCUUUGUAAGUUAGAGGUGAAAGCCCGGGGCUCAACUCCGGAACUGCCUUUAAGACUGCAUCGCUAGAAUCAUGGAGAGGUCAGUGGAAUUCCGAGUGUAGAGGUGAAAUUCGUAGAUUUUCGGAAGAACACCAGUGGCGAAGGCGACUGACUGGACAUGUAUUGACGCUGAGGUGCGAAAGCGUG